UUAGAGUCUUUAUUUUUUGAAUAAAUAUAAGUUGUUUGAAUUGGAAGUGGCGAAGUUUUUAUUCUCAAAAAUAUUUAUUAUUUUUUUAAUAGCCUAAAAUGCUUAAUAACAGAGUACUUCUUAUUUUAUUUUCUACUAGAAUUUCUGUGAAUUAAAAUUAACUUUGAACUUGAGUCAUCUCUAGAUGCAUAUGUUUUAAGAAAUAUUUUUUAAGAAUUAACUUUUAUCAUUUUUAUCCUUAGGGGAGAGUGGCACACUUUGGGACAUUUUUAUUUUUGGCCUAGAAUUUCAAAUUAUCUCUUAGUUUUUUUUAGAUGCAGAUAGAUGUUUUUUUUAGAUGCAGAUGGAUGUCAACGUCAUCUAACUUUGGAAUAUAUUUUGAUUCUAUUGAUUAAGCAGGAACUUAUUUUGACUUUACUAAUGGCAAGAAGUAGAAGCCAAGAGUAUAAAAAUAAUGCAUCAGUUCUUGCUAACAAUGUUGAAAAAGCUUCUGCAAACGUUUUAUCAGGAGAAAUGCCUUAUUGAAAAGCUGCUGAAUUCUACAUUAUUAAUAAAACCACUCUGAACCGCCAUAUUAUUUCCUUUAAGAAAAGAGAGCAGCCAAAUUCUAACUUUAACUACAUUUCAAAUUUACAGGGUCGUCUAUUGCUGCACCUCGAAAAGAAAAUGACCGAGGUCAAAAUAGGAGAAGAUCAGCAAUUUAUGUAGACGCAUCUCAAGAAAAGGCACUUGAAGAUGCUAUUAAGAAUAAAAAGAACUCCCCGGAAAACAAAAACAAUGUGUGUAUAGAAAAGGCAAAAAAAGUGUUUAAACAGUUUCAGCUCUAAGAUGAGGAUUUAAUGCUCUCAGAAUAGGUGGGAAAUACAUCUGGAAGAAAACCAGUACCUAAUGGCUGAUCUGUGUAAUGAUAACAGUGAUGAUGAUGCUUGCUGCUUAGAUGAAAUGAACAGUGCAAGAGACAACAAAACAUUUAA